rnacentral:rRNA from 1 species
CUGCUCUGCUCCCGGACGGUCAGUCAGAAAGAAAGAAAAGCAGAGUAGGAGGAGAAAGGAAAAGUCUUUAGCCAGCGAUGACGACCGCCGCGGGGUCGGAGUCGUCGUCCUCCUCGACCCCGGCGACGGCGGCGGCGGUGCUGCCGGUGGGGUUCCGGUUCCGUCCGACGGACGAGGAGCUGGUGCGGCACUACCUCAAGGCCAAGAUCGCGGGGCGGGCGCACCCGGACCUGCUGGCGAUCCCGGACGUGGACCUGGCGGCGGUGGAGCCGUGGGACCUGCCCGCCCGCUCCGUCAUCAAGUCGGACGACCCCGAGUGGUUCUUCUUCGCCCGCCGCGACCGCCCCAAGUACCCCGGCAAGUCCUCCCGCUCCUGCCGCUCCACCGCCGCCGGAUACUGGAAGGCCACCGGCAAGGACCGCCUCAUCCGGGCGCCCGGCCCCGGCGGCUGCAGGGGGAAGGGCGCCCUCAUCGGCGUGAAGAAGACCCUGGUGUUCCACCGCGGCCGCGCCCCACGCGGCGCACGCACCCCGUGGAUCAUGCACGAGUACACCGCCACCGACCCAAACCCCCAAUCCCAGUCCCAAUCCCAGUCUGCAGGCCCCCAAAAUGAUAGCUUUGUUCUGUACCGCCUGUUCAACAAGCAGGAUGAAGAGACCCCGGCCCCCGUUUCAGAACCCCCGUCCACGUCGCCUCCAGCCAAUCCGCCGCUACAGCAAGCCGACGACACGGCCAGCGCCUCCAUGGUGGAAGACAAGGCCUCGCCAUCUGAUUCGAGCCAGCUGACCCCGACCAAUGCAACCACCGACCACACCUCCACUGCCCAUCUUCUUGCAGCCGCCGGUGACGCAGAGCAGAUAGCGGAUCAGGAUGCUGCUUAUCUGAAUAUGUUGGCCCAGCUUCCUGCAAUCAGCUCCCCGAUGCGUCCUUACACGGAUCUCCCUUUUGUCGGCAACAUGGGUGAUGAGCAGGAAGACUUCUCGAUGUAUCUGAACAACAUCAUAGGUGAGCAGGAUGUGCAAGCCAUGUUGCCCAAUCCAGCCGAUGACGAAACGGGCGUGUCCAAUCCUACAGGCUCAUGGACUCCUUAUCCCCAAGAUAUGUUGGACAUGAUAAAUUCAAUUGGCCCUAUGGGAGCAGCACCUUGGACGCAGCAGCAGCAGCAGGCCACAGCUCCAGUAGAGUUGAUGGACCCACAACAAGGGAUUGCGGCAAGGAGGAUCCGGCUUGCGUACGCUGUUGAGAGGGCAUCGGCGUCUCAGCCUAUAUUAGCUUGUCACUCGGAAAGCGAAGAAGGUGAGGGCGAAUCAGCUGGCUGUAGCACAGAAAGUUCAUCCAACAACCAUGAGGAGGAGGAUCAUGUCAAUGAUGCACUUUUCCAAACCAUGGCUGGAGAUCUGAUGCAUAACAUCACUCCUGCUCAAGCGCUACUGGUUUCUUCGGUGGAAGUUGCAGACAAGCUCCAGCAUCUAUCAUUCAAUGAUGACAGCAUAUUGGAAGAAGAAGAUGCCAAGCCGCGUCGUGGAGCCGGUCUGAAGCAGAGGGUGAAGCAGGACUCGGGUCGAAACGGGCAUGACCCGGACGGACUCCUGCGCAACAGUGCCUACUUGCCUGGCCCUGGAGAUUCAUUUUCAGAAACAGCGAGACGGCGGAGGUCCCUCUGGCUGGCGCUCCUGGUGAUGGCCAUCCCCCUCUGCUUGUGCUUGUAUUGGUUGGUGUCUGGAGGUCACUGAGCUACCGGCCGGUGUAAGCUAAACUAAACGGUUCCUCUUCCUCAUCGUUCUUCGUUGGUAGGCUCUCUCUCUAUAUAUACUUCGUAUGUAGUAGUCAUUUGAAAUGUCUAGAAAGACAAAUAUUUAGGAACGGAGGGAGUACUUGUGUUGGUGUUGCUGGUGUGGUGUAUAUACUUGACUUGGUGUCUGUCUGUGUGUGUGUGUUAAGUAAGUAACUUUAGGCUGUCUCUACCGUAAUCCUAUGGACUUUGUAAUGUAGCCAUCCCAUUGACAUGACAUGUUGGAGACUCUAUUGUCUAUGCAAGCAAGCAAAUGAAUGAAUGAAUGAAUGGAUGGAU